UGGGGAAUUUUGGUCAAUGGCCGCAAGGCUGAACCAGCGACGCCGCGUGCGGGAGGAAGCCCCUCGGGGUGUAAACCGCUGUCAGAGGGGAAGAACCGUGGGGUGGUGAACAGCCAUCUCGCCUGACGGUACCCUCAAAGGAAGCGCCGGCUAACUCCGUGCCAGCAGCCGCGGUAAUACGGAGGGUGCAAGCGUUGUUCGGAAUUAUUGGGCGUAAAGCGCGUGUAGGCGGUCUGUUAAGUCUGAUGUGAAAGCCCCGGGCUCAACCCGGGAAGUGCAUUGGAAACUGGCCGACUUGAGUACGGGAGAGGGUAGUGGAAUUCCGAGUGUAGGGGUGAAAUCCGUAGAUAUUCGGAGGAACACCGGUGGCGAAGGCGGCUACCUGGACCGAUACUGACGCUGAGACGCGAAAGCGUGGGGAGCAA
rnacentral:rRNA from 1 species